CAGUAACGGCGAGUGAAGCGGCAACAGCUCAAAUUUGAAAUCUGGCUCCUUCGGGGUCCGAAUUGUAAUUUGUAGAGAGUGCUUCGGGCGAGACCUCGGUCUAAGUCCAUUGGAACAUGGUGUCAUAGAGGGUGAGAAUCCCGUAUGCGACCGUGGCUCGAGCCCAUGUGAAGCCUCUUCGACGAGUCGAGUUGUUUGGGAAUGCAGCUCAAAACGGGUGGUAAAUUUCAUCUAAAGCUAAAUACUGGCUGGAGACCGAUAGCGCACAAGUAGAGUGAUCGAAAGAUGAAAAGCACUUUGGAAAGAGAGUCAAACAGUACGUGAAAUUGUUGAAAGGGAAGCGCUUGCAACCAGACCUGCCCGUAGGCGAUCAGCCGCUGUUCUCAGCGGUGCACUCGCUCUGCGAUCAGGCCAGCAUCGGUUUCGGCGGCCGGAUAAAGGCCUUGGGAAUGUAGCUUCCCUUCGGGGAAGUCUUAUAGCCCUCGGUGCAAUGCGGCCAGCCGGGACCGAGGACCGCGCUUCGGCUAGGAUGCUGGCGUAAUGGUUGUAAGCGACCCGUCUUGAAACACGGACCAAGGAGUCCAACAUCUAUGCGAGUGUUUGGGUGUCAAACCCAUACGCGGAAUGAAAGUGAACGGAGGUGAGAACCCUUAAGGGCGCAUCAUCGACCGAUCCAGAUGUCUUCGGAUGGAUUUGAGUAUGAGCAUAGCUGUUGGGACCCGAAAGAUGGUGAACUAUGCCUGAAUAGGGUGAAGCCAGAGGAAACUCUGGUGGAGGCUCGCAGCGGUUCUGACGUGCAAAUCGAUCGUCAAAUUUGGGUAUAGGGGCGAAAGACUAAUC
rnacentral:rRNA from 1 species